UGGGGAAUUUUGGACAAUGGGGGCAACCCUGAUCCAGCAAUGCCGCGUGUGUGAAGAAGGCCUUCGGGUUGUAAAGCACUUUUGUCCGGAAAGAAAACGUCGUGGUUAAUACCCGUGGCGGCUGACGGUACCGGAAGAAUAAGCACCGGCUAACUACGUGCCAGCAGCCGCGGUAAUACGUAGGGUGCAAGCGUUAAUCGGAAUUACUGGGCGUAAAGCGUGCGCAGGCGGUCCGCUAAGACAGAUGUGAAAUCCCCGGGCUUAACCUGGGAACUGCAUUUGUGACUGGCGGGCUAGAGUAUGGCAGAGGGGGGUAGAAUUCCACGUGUAGCAGUGAAAUGCGUAGAGAUGUGGAGGAAUACCGAUGGCGAAGGCAGCCCCCUGGGCCAAUACUGACGCUCAUGCACGAAAGCGUGGGGAGCAAACAGGAUUAGAUACCCUGAUAGUCCACGCCCUAAACGAUGUCAACUAGUUGUCGGGUCUUCAUUGACUUGGUAACGUAGCUAACGCGUGAAGUUGACCGCCUGGGGAGUACGGUCGCAAGAUUAAAACUCAAAUGAAUUGACGGGGUCUAGCUGUUUCCUG
rnacentral:rRNA from 1 species